GAGUUCUCUAUCUUCAUCGAGCUGCACAUCCUCCAGCCGCCCAGACUCCCAGAGUUCCUGUGGCAUUCCUGACGACCAGUCUUCCGAAAUGGAACUGUCCUUAGAAGAAGGGAGGAGUUCUCUAUCUUCAUCGAGCUGCACAUCCUCCAGCCGCCCAGACUCGCGGAGUUCCUGUGGCAUUCCUGACGUACGGUCUUCAGAAAUCGAGCUGUCACUGGAAGAAGGGAGAAGUUCUCCAUCUUCAUCGAGCUGCACAUCCUCCAGCCGCCCAG